rnacentral:rRNA from 1 species
UACGGAAGGGGCUAGCGUUGUUCGGAAUUACUGGGCGUAAAGCGCGCGUAGGCGGCUUGGCAAGUGAGGCGUGAAAGGCCUGGGCUCAACCUGGGAACGGCGCUUCAGACUGCCUGGCUCGAGUCCGGGAGAGGGUGGUGGAAUUCCCAGUGUAGAGGUGAAAUUCGUAGAUAUUGGGAGGAACACCGGUGGCGAAGGCGGCCACCUGGCCCGGCACUGACGCUGAAGUGCGAAAGCGUGGGGAGCAAACAGG